rnacentral:tRNA from 1 species
GCCCGGGUGGUGGAAUUGGUAGACACGAGGGACUUAAAAUCCCUUGCUGACAUAUUGGCGUGCGGGUUCGAUUCCCGCCCCGGGCA